rnacentral:rRNA from 1 species
AUUGAACGCUGGCGGCAGGCUUAACACAUGCAAGUCGAGCGGAGAUGAGGUGCUUGCACCUUAUCUUAGCGGCGGACGGGUGAGUAAUGCUUAGGAAUCUGCCUAUUAGUGGGGGACAACAUUCCGAAAGGAAUGCUAAUACCGCAUACGCCCUACGGGGGAAAGCAGGGGAUCUUCGGACCUUGCGCUAAUAGAUGAGCCUAAGUCAGAUUAGCUAGUUGGUGGGGUAAAGGCCUACCAAGGCGACGAUCUGUAGCGGGUCUGAGAGGAUGAUCCGCCACACUGGGACUGAGACACGGCCCAGACUCCUACGGGAGGCAGCAGUGGGGAAUAUUGGACAAUGGGCGAAAGCCUGAUCCAGCCAUGCCGCGUGUGUGAAGAAGGCCUUUUGGUUGUAAAGCACUUUAAGCGAGGAGGAGGCUACCGAGAUUAAUACUCUUGGAUAGUGGACGUUACUCGCAGAAUAAGCACCGGCUAACUCUGUGCCAGCCGCCGCAGUAAUAC